rnacentral:rRNA from 1 species
AACGAACGCUGGCGGCAGGCUUAACACAUGCAAGUCGAACGGGUGUAGCAAUACAUCAGUGGCAGACGGGUGAGUAACACGUGGGAACCUUCCUAGGGGUACGGAACGACUCAGGGAAACUUGAGCUAAUACCGUAUACGUCCGUGAGGAGAAAGAUUUAUCGCCCUUAGACGGGCCCGCGUCGGAUUAGGUAGUUGGUGGGGUAACGGCAUACCACGCCUACGAUCCGUAGCUGAUCUUAGAGGGUGAUCAGCCACACUGGGACUGAGACACGGCCCAGACUCCUACGGGAGGCAGCAGUGGGGAAUCUUGGACAAUGGGCGCAAGCCUGAUCCAGCCAUGCCGCGUGAGUGAAGAAGGCCUUAGGGUUGUAAAGCUCUUUUACCAGGGACGAUAAUGACGGUACCUGGAGAAUAAGCCCCGGCAAACUUCGUGCCAGCCGCCGCGGUAAAAC